rnacentral:lncRNA from 1 species
ACCCUGGUGCUGUCGCCCGUCCCGCCGUCCGCGCUUGGGGUGCCUUUGUGGGGAUCCGGGCGCCGCACAGCUGGGAGGGCCUGCCGCCCGGGAGGCUCGGAUCCGGGGCGCCCAGUGCCCCCCGCUGCCUUCCGUGAGCCGUCGGGCCCCAGCUCCACGUAGGCCUCAGACCCAGCCCUGUUUCUGCUUGCGGGGCCGCGGCUGCGCAGUAUUGCGGCGUCUGCCAGCAAAGCUGCGCCCCGGUCGUGGGUCCCCUGAGGGGGCCGGGGCUCAAGUUCCCUUCGGUGCUGCCGCCUGCGUCGGGCCAGGGUUCCGAGUUCCAGCCCUGAGCUCUGUGAGCUCGGCCGGGAGGGGGCUGGAUUUGGGACCACACUUCCUCACCGCCGUGGUUUAGACUUAGUUUGAGAGCGGCUGGCCCCUCCUUCCUGUCCCGGUGUCCUCCGCUGUCUGUUAUGCCCUUCACUCCUCCCUGGGGAGGGAGGGCUGGGGGCGCUGUCUGGGUCUGUUUUCCACCCCAGCGGGGCCCUAGGGCAGUGUCAUUUAGACUCCACUCUGUCACCUUUCCUGGAGAGGGGACCUGAUCCAGGGCUGAGAGGUUUUUUUUUUUUUUUUUUUUUUUGAGAUGGAGUCUGGCUGUUGCCCAGGAUGCAGUGCAGUGGCGCGAUCUCGGCUCACUGCAAGCUCCGCCUCCCAGGUUCACGCCACUCUCCUGCCUCAGCCUCCCGAGUAGCUGGGACUACAGGCGCCCGCCACCACGCCCGGCUAAUUUUUUUUUUUUUGUAUUUUUAGUAGAAACGGGGUUUCACCCUGUUAGCCAGGAUGGUCUCGAUUUCCUGACCUCGUGAUCCGCCCACCUCGGCCUCCCAAAGUGCGGGCUGAGAGAUCUUACAGUGGGAGGGGGAAUCAGGCCCUGGGGAAAGGCUUCUCAGGGGUUGUCUCCUUCUGUCUUCUGUCUCUGCAGGUAGGGAUAGAACCAGGUCAGGCCUGGAUUUGUAGUCCCAGAGAACAGAGGAUGGAGAUGGGGGCUGGACGCAGCUCAGAGGGGCUGGUGCUCAUGGGCUCUGUGUAUGCCUUCUCCUGUGGCCUGGUUCUGUGUACAGAUGUUCUACCCCAGUGCUGAGGGCCAAGACACCCUCUUGGCCUUGGUGCUGGGGGCAUCCUGGGGCAAGGAGUGUAGGCAGAACUCCUCAACAUUGGAGAUUUGGGGAAAUUGUGUCCCCUCCCUUUUAGACUCCUGUAGCCCCCUGCAGUGGCACGAUCUGGGCCCACAGCAAUCUCCACCUCCUGGGCUCAAGCAGUCCUCCCACUUCAGCUUCUGGAAUAGCUGGGAACACAGGCAUGCACCACCACUCCAGGCUAAUUUCUUUAUUUUUUUAUAGAGACAGGGUUUCGUCAUGUUGCCCAGGCUAAAGUGCCGUGGCUAUUUAUAGUCACGAUUAUUGCACCCUACCACCUCAAACUCCUGGACUCAAGUGAUCCUCCCGCCUCAGCCUGUGGAGUAGCUGGGACUACAGGCAUGCACCACUAUGCCUGAUUUACCCAUUCUCUUUUAGAUUUUUUUUUUUUUUGAGAGAGGGUCUUGCUCUGUUGCCCAGGCCAAAUGCAGUGGUAUGAUCAUGGCUCAUUGCACCCUUGACCCCUGGGCUCAAGUGAUCAUCCUGCCUCAGCCUCCCAAGUAGCUGGGACUACAGGUGUGCAUUACCACAUCUGGCUAAUUUUUAUUAUUUUUUUUUUUGUAGAGAUGAGGUCCUGCUAUGUUGCCCAGGCUAGUCUUGAACUCCUGGUUUAAGCAGUCCUGCCUCAGCCUUACAAAGUGCGGGAAUUACAGAUGUGAGCCACUACGCUCAGCCCCAUACAAGGUUUUUUUUCUUUCUUUACCUGCCCUUCAAUAAGAAGUACAUUGCACAUACUGAUCCAAUAUAGACCUGCACAUAUAUAACAGAAAGAAAAUUUCUGCAGUGUUCUUUCCCUUAUGACAUCCAAAGCACUCUGAUAUUUUCUGUUUUAUUUCAGUAAAAUGCUGUUGAAGGCCCACGGGCAUGACUGCACCCCUCACUAAUUGGUCAUUGGUUUGGGGAGGACACCACUGUCCCAGUGGAACCUUGAGCACACCUUGGAGCCCUCCUCUUCCUCUCCGGACCUGUGCCAAACUGCCAUCCUGCAGCCACCAGAACCUUCCACAUGAAAUGAAAGGCUCACCACUUCAUAGGCUUUAAGGAAAUUCUUGGCCAGGUGUGGUGCCUCACUCAUGUAAUCCCAGUGCUUUAAGAGGCCAAGAUGGGAGGAUUGUUUGAGCCAGCUGUUUGAGACCAGCCUGGGCAACGUCAUGA